UUAAUGCUUUUGCUGAGUUCGGAGAGAGACACAGGCGCUGCGAUGCCAGCGAGUGCCUUUGUCCAGGAGGCAGGCAGGAGGCAGAGGAGGAGGGGCCCUGGGAACUGCUCCUGUGCUCCUCCUGUGCUGCCGAGGGCACCCACAGACACUGUUCUGGCCUGAGAAACAGGAUAACCAGAUGGGAAUGUGAUGGCUGUGCUGGUCUGGGCACAUCCUCCCGAGAUGACUCAGGGCUUGCUGGUGUCAGUGUAGCCAGACAGUCAGGACUGGAGCCUUCUGACAGCUCCAGGGAACCUGAGACCAUCAGCCCCAACACAGGCAGCCUGGCGUUACCAGGGCUGUCUCCCAGUUCUCCAGCACUGGAGACC